rnacentral:rRNA from 1 species
GAUGAACGCUGGCGGCGUGCCUAAUACAUGCGAGUCGAGCGAACAGACGAGGAGCUUGCUCCUCUGACGUUAGCGGCGGACGGGUGAGUAACACGUGGAUAACCUACCUAUAAGACUGGGAUAACUUCGGGAAACCGGAGCUAAUACCGGAUAAUAUAUUGAACCGCAUGGUUCAAUAGUGAAAGACGGUUUUGCUGUCACUUAUAGAUGGAUCCGCGCCGCAUUAGCUAGUUGGUAAGGUAACGGCUUACCAAGGCAACGAUGCGUAGCCGACCUGAGAGGGUGAUCGGCCACACUGGAACUGAGACACGGUCAAGACUCCUACGGGAGGCAGCAGUAGGGAAUCUUCCGCAAUGGGCGAAAGCCUGACGGAGCAACGCCGCGUGAGUGAUGAAGGUCUUCGGAUCGUAAAACUCUGUUAUUAGGGAAGAACAAAUGUGUAAGUAACUAUGCACGUCUUGACGGUACCUAAUCAGAAAGCCACGGCUAACUACGUG